rnacentral:tRNA from 1 species
GCAUCCAUGGCUGAAUGGUGAAAGCGCCCACCAACCUAGAAAGGGAAAAUGGGUCAAAAAGUAGGUUCGGUUCCUACCGGAUGCA